AAGGCUUCCUGUCUGAAGCCUUUCCAUACUGGUACUCGAUGUUCCAGUUUUGUGACACGAGAAUGGCACGAGAAUUAGUGUACCGCUGAGUGUACCGCUAUACACGUGGUCGACACGUAGUCGACACGUUGUUGAUACUUUUUGACACGUGACCCCGUCAACGGUCUGCUUUGUGCCAAUGCCACUCGGUAAACGCCGAUGCCACGUAGAUCUACGACAAAGACGACUAUCCCGUACGCGAAAUAGUUGAGAACUGCAUGACGUGGACCUGACGGCAAGGACAACUGCGAGGAGACCCCUCUCGGUCGACGGGAAGGAGAACUGCAUGCAGAAGUCGACGAAGUCGAACGAGGAGGCCCCUUUCCGUACCCCGUACUGCAAAGUGCCAUUGAUGGAUGCCUUUUGCACCUGGAACGACCCCUUAAACGCUGUCGCGGCGACUAUCCCGUACGCGAAAUAGUUGAGAACUACUGACGUGGACCUUUUGCACCUGGGACGGCCCCGUAAACGCUGUCGACGAUGUCGUGUCGGCGGAGUGAAUGUGCAGGGUGAAAAGAAUUACUGCAAAGACGUCCGCUCUAGGCCUUUGGAGACAUCGUGGGAACACCUUCCGGUACUAUACAAGCUGCUGACGUGGCCGUGGACAUGUACAUGGAGUCAUGGUGGGACUUCAUGUACAUGGAUACAUGGUGGGAAUUCCUUCCGGCACCCCCGUACCGCAAAGCCAACGGUGGGGAAGGAGAAGAGCAGACGUGCAGGAAGACGAACGAGGAGGAACCAGGACGAGCGAGCAAUGGCAGGACUAGCUGGACCGUAAGUAGUAGCUGAAUUGUGCAUGACAACUUGACAUCCGUGCGGCACUCGCCACUUGCCACUGCAUAUUAUUUUCUUGUCCACUAACAAUGUCUCUCCUCUGCCCCCUGUGUGUCCACGGCCCUGUUGCUGAAUUGGCCCGAUGAAUCGAAUGUCUUCCGCAACUGGAACGGCCCAGUAAACGAUGUCGCGUCGGCGACUGAAUGCGCUGGAGGGAAAAUAUUGCUGCGAAGACGUUUCCUCUAGACCACGGUAUAUCAUCCCGUGACGACCACAUUGAAGUCUGAAUUUGAAGUUUGAAGAUGCUUCAGCAACCACACCGUACUUUUCCAUUGCUUUCAUUGUGCUUCUACUGUGCAUGUGUGUAACUUGUGGGGUAAACAUGUGAUGACAUUGUAUGCUAGCGACACGGUCAGAUGUUGUCCAUGCGUCUAACGUACACGUGCAUGUUAUGCAUUGAAAAGGAUUUGCCACUUGCGAUCCUGGGACGAGUAUCAGGUCAGCUUUGUCCUGUCUGGGCUGUAUCAGAUUGCUGUUCACUUCUCUAUCUGUUGGAUGUGUGACUUUCUGCAAGUUUCUGGUGUAUGAUGGCCACUUCCUUUCUUGUCACUUUGUAUGAUAUUACAUUCUGUAUUCGCUGCUUCCAUGGCGUGGUCUGCAAACUGCAAUCCUUGGGCAAAUGUCAUGUUUGCUAUGUUGUGCUUUGGCCGUCGGCUUGUCUACACGCUGUAGUUGAAUUAUUUUUGUUUCACAACUGACUUCCUCAAGUACGGUGGCCACUGCUUUGCAUGGCAUUAUA